UUUAGGUGAAAAUUGCACAGGUUUUCAGCUCCCUGUUUUGAUUGCCUUUUGUCUCUGCAGGUCUCUCCUCCAUAGCUGCUCAUCUUCCUGUACCAUGGCUCUGGACACCACACUCUAAAGCUCCUGUCACCAGCACACCCUGCCCACAACAAAGAUGUAGGAAGGGUCUGCGAUCACCCGGCGGAGUGCGCGCGAGCUCCCGGCCUGCGCGGGAGCUCCCGGCCUGCGCGACAACAGACCCAGGAAGGACCCAAGGACCCCAGAGGGGGUUUUUUUCAGCUGCCUGCCUACCUGCCUGUCUGCGAUCACCCGGCGGCGUGCGCGUGAGCUCCCGGCCUGCGCGACAACAGACCCAGGAAGGAAGGUAGCCGCGCGGGCGCCCUUGAAACACCCACACGACCCCCCCCCCCG
rnacentral:lncRNA from 1 species